CUUUUAGAAAUUUUGGAGAAAAGAAAUUUUGGUCCUUUAUGGAUCUCCUGGAUUAAGCAGAUUACUCACAUGGGUUCAGUUGGGGUAAAAAUUAAUGGUGUAGAGGGACACUCAUUCAUCACAGAAAAAGGGCUGAGGCAGGGGGACCCUAUAUCCCCCCUCCUUUUCAAUUUAGUGGUAGAUGUGCUUAGUAAAAUGCUUUAUAAAGCAGCCUCUCAGGAUAUGAUUAGGGGUUUGUGUUCUGACCUUAUACUUAAUGGUGUCAUCUGCCUGCAAUAUGCAGAUGACACCAUACUCUUUGUGGAUAGUGAUGAGCAUAAAGCCUCUAACCUAAAAAUGAUCUUAACCUGCUUUGAAAAAGUCUCAGGCAUGAAAAUCAACUAUGCUAAAAGUGAGAUAAUUCCCAUAGAUAUAUCUCCUGAGGAAACUAGGAUCAUUGCUGAUAUCAUGGGA
rnacentral:rRNA from 1 species